UUUUUAUGAGGUGUCAUAUGGCACUUUUACUACUUUGAUUUUUUGUUGUUGUUAGUUUAACUAUUUUAGAAGAAAAUUUUACUACAUAGCUCAAAAUCUAAUGUUCUCUCCCUCAGCCUCUUGAGUGCUAGGAUUAGAAAUGUGUGCCAUGCCCAGAAAUUUUAUUUUUUGUAUUUUGUUGUUACUAUUUGUUUGUUUUAUUUUGAGAAAAAAGUCUGUGAUGUGCAGACUAACCUCAAACUAGCUGCCAUCCACCUGCCUCUGUCUCCCAAGUGCUGGGAUUACAGGAAUGUGCCACCACACCAAACCUAGAAAUUUAAAUUUUUACCGCUAAGUAAUACAAACUUACAACACAAACCACCCAACUCGUAAGUUUUUGUUGGGGUUUAAGACUAUGUUAGUGUUUAAAUUAUUUUCUUUGUUAAGGAAAAUGUAAGGGGCUGGAGCAACAGUUUGGGGGUUAAGAGUGCUGCUUGCUUUUCUGGAGGACCUUGUUUGAUCCUCAGCACGUGAGAAGGUCACCACCGCCUGUAAUUCCAGUUCCAGGCAGUCCAAGGCCAUGUCUUGCUGACAGUCUGUUCCUUUCCACAAGAAAUGCCUUCAUUUCCAUUUGGUUGUUCUGGCCACAAGUCUGAGAAACAGACUUUCUCUCUUACGAACUUCCAUAUUUAACCAACUGUAUGUGUGUGAGAGGGAAAAGAGACAAGCGAAUAUGAACAUUAAUGAGAAUAGUCCCUAUCUGUACUGCAGGACUCACUCUCUCAAUCAAACUACCCAAGCUCCAUUCAUUCAUCAGUUUACUUACUUACUGUCUACUUAAUUCUUAAUGUAGCUUUCAGAAGUCAACAGUCAUUUGUCAUUUUCUUUGUUUAUUUUUUUAAUUUUGUUUUAGCAGAGUUUAGUAUCCAGCACACAUACCAAGUGGUUCACAAACACCUAUAACACUAGCUUCAAGGAAUCCGAUUUCUCUUCUGAACUCUGGGCACCUGCACACACACACACAUGCACACACCACAGACAUUCACACAUACAUAUAUGCAUACGUGCAGAUACACACAAAUAAAUUAAGUCUUUUUUUAAAAGGUGCCCACUUAAGACAUUGCUUUCUCUAAGAAAUUUUUUUCCUAACCCACAAGCUUUGUAGAUUGAGCCCUACUUUAUAACUGCUAUAGAACUGGACUGUGCUGUGCCUUGGUGUAAUCAAGCCCCUCCCACAGCUUUCAUAUCUGUCCCCUGUGUAAGCAGGCCCCUCCCACAACUUUCACAUCUGUCCCCUGUGUAAGCAGGCCCCUCCCACAACUUUCACAUCUGUCCCCUGUGUAAGCAGGCCCCUCCCACAACUUUCACAUCUGGUCCCCUGUGUAAGCAGACCCCUCCCACAACUUUCACAUCUGUCCCCUGUGUAAGACUAUGCUGACUUUUUAUGAUACUUUAUUUCCACAUUUUUAUGCUCAUCUUUGAAGACUCCAUGAAAUAUUUAGGACAGGAUUGUUAACCCUGUUUAACCUGUGGGAAACUGUGUGAAGGUGACAUUCCCUAUGUACAAGGAGCUGAUUCUACAUACCUGCCUUUCCAGAGCCUAUGUCCAACAUCAAUAUCAGAUUAAAAACACUGAGUGACAAACGGACGUAGUUUCACCUUGUAAGAUUCUUCAAUGAAUAUUUAAAUUUUUGUCAUUUCUAAAAGAAACUUUUUUUAAUAUUCUAGCUUGAAAUCCAGAAUCAUCCUUUUUUUGAGUCACUCAGCUGGACUGACCUCGUACAAAAAAAGAUUCCACCUCCAUUUAACCCUAAUGUGGUAAGUGCCCCACAGCCAACCUGAAUGAAAGCAGCCAGGCCCCGAGUAUCUGUGCACCCUCCCUGAGCGGUGUCUAGCUCAGUGGUGGAGGACGUGCCUAGCAUUUCACAGAACCAUGAAGAGAAGAAAGCAACAGAAACUUCAAGGUGACCAGUAAGACCACAGUUAUUAAAUAUCUUCCUGCGUAGUAAUUAUGAGUGCUUCUUAAAGGUCAAAAGGAUGGUCUUAGUAGGUGGAAGCUAGGGUAGCCAUUACCAUUUCUGUACAUAGUAAACCAGCAUCCAAGCGCAAUUAUUUCCUAACAAAUGUGUGUAUAGGUAUAGUGUUGUAUGUGCGUGUGUGUGUGUGUGUGUGUGUGUGUGCGCGGCGCGUGUGCGCGGCGCGUGCGCGCGGCGCGUGCGUAUGCUGUGUAUGCGCGUGUACCAGAGGUUGAAGUAUCCUCCUCAGUCUUGCCCACUUUAGUUUUUGAGACAGGCUCUGUCACUAAACCCGAGCUGACUCAUUUCAGCUAGGCAGCCUUGCCAGUUAGCUGCAGGGAUCCAACUGUCUCUGACUUUCUGGUGCCAGGAGGACUCAUGUGUAAACCCCGCUCAGAUCGUGACUAAGUCCUGGAGAUCUGAACUCGGGUCCUCAUGCUUGCUUGCUAAAUACUCUUAUCAGUCCAACUGUAUCCUUGGCCCUAAGCAAAGUCUUUUCCUGGGAAUAUAAGUUGUCCUAGCACUUUUAGAAAAUAAUAAGCUGGCCAGAGGCAGGCCUGGUCUACAGAGUGAGUUCCAGGACAGCCAGGGCUAUACAGAGAAACUGUCUUGAAAAAUC
rnacentral:lncRNA from 1 species